CCUACGGGCGGCAGCAGUGGGGAAUAUUGGGCAAUGGGCGCAAGCCUGACCCAGCAACGCCGCGUGAAGGAAGAAGGCUUUCGGGUUGUAAACUUCUUUUCUGGGGGACGAACAAAUGACGGUACCCCAGGAAUAAGCCACGGCUAACUACGUGCCAGCAGCCGCGGUAAUACGGAGAUGGCAAGCGUUAUCCGGAUUUAUUGGGGGUAAAGGGAGUGUAGGGGGGAAUGCAAGUCAGAUGUGAAAACUCAGGGCUCAACCCUGAGCCUGCAUUUGAAACUGUGUUUCUUGAGUGCAGUAGAGGCAGUCGGAAUUCCGUGUGUAGCGGUGAAAUGCGUAGAUAUACGGAGGAACACCAGUGGCGAAGGCGGAUUGCUGGACAGUAACUGACGCUGAGGCGCGAAAGUGUGGGGAGCAAACAGGAUUAGAUACCCUGGUAGUC
rnacentral:rRNA from 1 species